rnacentral:tRNA from 3 species
GCGUCGUUAGCUCAGCUGGUUAGAGCAUCCGACUUUUAAUCGGAAUGUCGGUAGUUCGAAUCUACCACGACGCA